rnacentral:rRNA from 1 species
CCCUUAGAUGUUCUGGGCCGCACGCGUGCUACACUGAGUGGAUCAGCGGGUCAGGUUGCGCGAAAGUGUUUCCUAAUCUUGAAAUCCGCUCGUGAUGGGGAUUGACGGUUGCAAUUUUCCGUCAUGAACGAGGAAUACCUUGUAAGCGCGGGUCAUCAUCCCGCGCUGAAUACGUCCCUGCCCUUUGUACACACCGCCCGUCGCUCCUACCGAUUGAGUGGUCCGGUGAGGCUUUGGGAUCUGAGCGGAAAGAGCGUUUCGCUGUUUCUACUCGGAAAACUCAGUCGAACCUUAUCAUUUAGAGGAAGGAGAAGUCGUAACA